UACGAAGGGGGCUAGCGUUGUUCGGAUUAACUGGGCGUAAAGCGCGCGUAGGCGGGUUUUUAAGUCAGGGGUGAAAUCCCAAGGCUCAACCUUGGAACUGCCUUUGGUACUGGAAAUCUUGAGUCCGGGAGAGGUGAGUGGAACUGCGAGUGUAGAGGUGAAAUUCGUAGAUAUUCGCAAGAACACCAGUGGCGAAGGCGGCUCACUGGCCCGAUACUGACGCUGAGGCACGAAAGCGUGGGGAGCAAACAGG
rnacentral:rRNA from 1 species